rnacentral:rRNA from 1 species
CGUGAGUUGGGUUCAGAACGUCGUGAGACAGUUCGGUCUCUAUCCGCCGUGGGCGCAGGAGGCUUGAGGGAACCUCUUCCUAGUACGAGAGGACCGGAAGGGAUAGACCUAUGGUGUGCCAGUUGUUCCGCCAGGAGCAGCGCUGGGUAGCCAUGUCUAGUAUUGAUAAGCGCUGAAGGCAUCUAAGCGCGAAGCUGCCCCCAAGAUGAGGCCUCCCUUCCCUAUUAAGUUAGGGAGUAAGACUGCAGAGAGACUAUCUGCUUGAUAGGCCGGAUGUGUAAGGAUGGUAACAUCUUCAGCAUACCGGUACUAACCGGUCGAGAGGCUUGACCUAC